GGACUGCUGAGGAGUCUCAAAAUAGGACGAAACAGCUGUCCAGUGC
rnacentral:hammerhead_ribozyme from 1 species